GCUGGCACCUGGCUGUUCCCUGGGGAGUGAGCAUGCCAAGGUGUAAAGGAAAUCUUGGCUAAGGAGUAUGCCUCUCUGUGCUCUGUGCCUGAUUGAAGGGCACCAAAGAAAGGGCCACUCAGAGCAAACAUUCAUUGAGCACCUACUGUGUGCCUACUGAGUGCCUACCUCCUUAAAGAGCAAAGACAGCCAGGAUCCCUGUACUUGUGACCUUUGCAGAGGACGGAAAUGACAAGCUUCAUCACACAAAUGAGUAUGCACUGCAGUGAGAGCCAAGGAUGGGUAAUGAUGGGCCCAUGGGAGUGCAUAGCAGAGGAUGUGUUCUCAUUUCAGGAAGCAGAGAAAUCUUUCCUGCCCUUGGGACAAUGGAACCGGGAAGUGAAGGAUGAGUGCUGGUCCAGGAGGUAAAUGGAAGGAAGAGCAUGGCCAGAGGAGGGCCAGCCUGUGGAGGGCUCCUAAAGGGGAGGGAGUCUCAUAGAACACGGGCUUUGCAGAAGAACAGCAAGGGGAGCAGAUGCCACUGAAGGCAGCUUACAUGCAUAUGAGGGGAGCCACGCCAGGCAGGAGGGACUCAGCAACCGGCUAAAGAAGCUGUGUGUUGAUUCGAAGACCCUUGGAGCCAUUGGAGGUCUUAAAGGAGAGGAGGUGCCUGAUCAGAACUGGAGUAAGCGAGCACUCUAGCUGCAGUGUGAGGAAGUCUGAGGAGGGAUGGAUUGAAUGCUACUUGAAAGAGCAAAGACCUUGGGAAAUUCCCUUUUCUUCCUGAAGCUUUGCUUCCUGUUUGGGACACUGAGACAGUUGAAGAAAGAAUGUAUGUGACAAGUUCCUGGCCCAUGGGUGAACUUCAUGCCUUUUGUUUAAUCUUGCAUCUUUUAUUUUUUUCUAAGCUUCAUAGCCUUUUUUUCUCUUUUUCGUUAGGUGGCAAUGUGGGUGAUGGGUGUAGAUUGUGGAAGCCACUGAAUUUUGUGGCUUGUUCUUUGUCUGCUCAAAGGGUACAUUUGGGCACAUUUCAAAGGCCUGUGAGUGAUGGAGUCACCUAAAUUAGAACACUUUGCUUUUUCUAAUUUGCAAAUUACAGCAAAGACUAACUGAGCCAAACUGACACAGACACCUUGACCUACAUUAUAAGUAAUGAGCUCCUAAGCAAAGAAUUAAUGCAGACACUGUAUCAUGCAUGAAUAGACGGGCUCAUCUGAACAAACACAUUGUUUUCAAAGUCCCGGCUCUUUUAAGACUGUCAGCUUCCUGUUGAGUACUGGAUAGAACAAGGGAUUUUAAUUGCUCCAUUCCUUCCCUUGUCAUGAUUGUUUUUAUUACCAGGUUAGGUUGUUUUAAUUAUGCUCAUAAAUGGCAGAGAUGGGUCCCCAGUGCAGGGCAUUUGGCCUCGGAAUCUAGAUUUUGCUGUGCAACUUCAAUUUCACCAAUCAAGGCAUUCGCAGUGAGUCAAGGAGCAAAAACAAAGCUACGUUUUCACCUUCUCCUUGAUGUGACAAUAAUGACGUCUUCAUCCCAUCCUCUUUCAUAGAUCUCAGAGGCCGACAAAGUCCUUAGGAGCACAAGGAAGUCCCCCCCGCCAGGAGUUAGGGUUAGGGGAUUCCAGCCUCCUGUGUGUGAGCAGAGCUACAGUCCUGGAAGACAUUCUCCCUCUUCUCCUUGGACAAUAUCACCUCCUUUUGGAGCCUGUUACAGGCUGAAUAGUUUCCUACCCCAAAUUCCUAUUUUGACAUCCUACCCAGAGUCCAUCAAAAGGUGUCUGUAUUCUGAGGUGGCCCUUUAAAGAAGUAACUAAGGUCAACUGAGGUCAUUAGAGGCUUAAGGCAAUAUGACCAUUGUCCUUAUAAGAAAAGGAGAUCAGGAUGCACUCGAUACAGGUGGAGUGGUGACCCUUUGGAGACCAGGGAGGAGACCAGGGAGCAAGACCUCAAAGAAAUCAGACCUGUAGACUUCCCACCAAAUCUUGAUAUGGGUCUUUUGGCCUCUAGAACCAUCAAGAAAUAAAUUUCUGUUGUUUAUGUCACCCAGUUUGUGGUAUUUUAUGGUGAGACCCUUAGAAAAAUAUAGAACCUAAUGUAGCUCUACUAAAUUUAUGCAAAAUGAGAAAAUCUGAUUCAGUUUCAUUGCUUCCUGCUAGCUGGAAUAAAUUUGACUCUAACAGUGACAGUUUUCUCUAUUUUGUGAAUGAGGCUGCUUAGAGAUUCAUAAGCAAAUUGUUAUCUCUGUAUCUUCCCAUUCAACAUGGUGCAGUUCUCAUAUUCAUUGGCGAUAUUAGUGAUUUGGAGUUUCCUUCUCCUCUCUCACUUCUCUUCCACACUGAUACAACUAGCACUUUGGUAGGUAAAUUGCUAGCAGUACAUAAAGUAUUAAUUCAGCAGCAGAGCACCUUUCACUAUUUUAUCCAUAUAUCUUUCCAAGCUAAAUGGUUUUUAGUAUACUCAAGGCUAUAAAGCAAUUCUCCAGGAGUUUGACUUCCAAAGGUGUGGUCUUUAAAUGGGGAGGCAAAGUACACCCUGCCCUCAUAAAAGGAUCCUAUAAAAACGUCUCUAGCCGCUCUUAUGUUCCAGGCAACAGAUUGGCCAGAACUCUGUGGCUUGUAGGAGAGGGUGAGGC
rnacentral:lncRNA from 1 species